CGACCGGCGCACGGGUGAGUAACGCGUAUCCAACCUGCCUUACACUCUUGGACAGCCUUCUGAAGGGAGAUUAAUACAAGAUGUUAUCAUGAGUAAGCAUUUUCACAUGAUUAAAGGUUUACCGGUGUAAGAUGGGGAUGCGUUCCAUUAGAUAGUAGGCGGGGUAACGGCCCACCUAGUCUUCGAUGGAUAGGGGUUCUGAGAGGAAGGUCCCCCACAUUGGAACUGAGACACGGUCCAA
rnacentral:rRNA from 1 species